UGCUCGCGGGGCAGGGGAUGGGUUGGGGUACAGGGGAUUCUCCCAGCCGCAUGGAAGGGCGCCGUCUCAGGGGAUGCUCCGGCCGCUGGUGGACAAUCCAGGUGAGAUCACUCCCAAAUUCAUUCUGAUCCGAGGGCAGACGACGACUACACCGGUCUUCGUUUUAGGUGGAGGUGGGUGCCCAAGAAAUCAAGGCAUACGACCGAGCGCGGGGUUCGUUCUUGGAUUGUAACCUUCGGUAACUUCGUUUCUUGCAGUUCUCGGGCGCGGCCCAUGGUCGGGGCAGAGGGGAAGGGGAUUCGCUCCGCCGCCACGGCAGGCUUUUCCAGGGCAGACGGCGACUACACCGGCCUUCGCUUUAGGUGGAGGUGGGUGCCCAAGAAAUCAAGGCAUACGAGCUUGGGUUGAUCAUGUCGUUUCUUGGAUUGUAACAUCCCAUUGCUUCGUUUCUUAUCUUCUUGCAGACAGGAACAGGGGGUUCUCCCAGCCGCAUGGAAGGGCGCCGUCUCAGGGGAUGCUCCGGCCGCUGGUGGACAAUCCAGGUGAGUUCACUCCCAAAUUCAUUCUGAUCCGUGCGUUUCUUGGUUCUUCAUUGACGUCGGAGUUGGAUUUCCUGGUUUCUGUUGCAGCCGGUACAUCGGCGCAGCCAUCAGGGACGACGGCGAAUGCAGCCGGCGACGGCAUUGCGGGGAUUUCGCAGGCUCUUGCGGGGCUUACGACGGCGACUACAGGCUCCGCCGGCGGCUCUUCCCAGUUCGGUGGAGGUGGGUGCCCAAGAAAUCAAAGCAUACGAGUUUGGGUUGAUCAUGUCGUUUCUUGGAUUGUAACAUCCCAUUGCUUCGUUUCUUAUCUUCUUGCAGACAGGAACAGGGGGUUCUCCCAGCCGCAUGGAAGGGCGCCGUCUCAGGGGAUGCUCCGGCCGCUGGUGGACAAUCCAGGUGAGUUCACUCCCAAAUUCAUUCUGAUCCGUGCGGUUCUUGGUUCUUCAUUGACGUCGGAGUUGGAUUUCCUGGUUUCUGUUGCAGCCGGUGCGCGUCCGCCCUUCCCGUACCUGUACCACGCGCCGACCGGCAAUGGUUUCUUCAACGCCCAGAACCAGAUCGCCGGCCACUUGCAGACGGGAACAGGGCAGCAGCAGAUGCCAUCUCAGGGGAUGCUCCGGCCGCCGCCAGGCAAUCCAGGUGAGUUCCCUCCCAAGAAAAGCGCCAAAUUCUUUCUGAUCCGCGCGGUUCUUGGUUCUUGAUUGACGCCGGAGUUGGAUUUCAUGGUUCUUCAUUGACGCCGGAGUUGGAUUUCCAUGUUUCUGUUGCAGCCGGUGGGCGUCCGCCCUACCCGUACCAGAACCACGCGCCGACCGGCAAUGGUUCGCUCUCCGGCCAGACNNNNNNNNNNNNNNNNNNNNNNNNNNNNNNNNNNNNNNNNNNNNNNNNNNNNNNNNNNNNNNNNNNNNNNNNNNNNNNNNNNNNNNNNNNNNNNNNNNNNGGAAGGACGAAGGGGUCCCGGGGUUCCGCGGGGGGGGGGGGCACCCACCCCGGGGAAGCCCAUAGGUGUUUGGGGUGCCGCACCAGCCCUUAGUGGGCUGGUGGGACAGCCCAAGAGAGGCCUAUGCGCAUUGGGAAGAAAAUCAAAGAGGAAAGGAAAAAAAGGAGGAGGUGGGAAAGGGAAGAAGGACUCCACCUUCCAAACCAAGUAGGACUCGGUUUGGGAGGGGAAUCCUUCCCCCCUUGGCUCGGCCGACCCCUUGGGGGUUCUUGGACCCCAAGGCAAGGCUCCCCCUCCCUCUCCUAUAUAUAGUGGGGUUUUAGGGCUGAUUUGAGACAACUUUGCCACGACAGCCCGACCACAUAUCUCCACGGUUUCACCUCUAGAUCGCGUUUCUGCGGAGCUCGGGCGGAGCCCUGCUGAGACGAGAUCAUCACCAACCUCCGGAGCGCCGUCACGCUGCCGGAGAACUCUCCUACCUCUCCGUCUCUCUUGCUGGAUCAAGAAGGCCGAGAUCAUCGUCGAGCUGUACGUGUGCUGAACGCGGAGGGGCUGUCCGUUCAGCACUAGAUCNNNNNNNNNNNNNNNNNNNNNNNNNNNNNNNNNNNNNNNNNNNNNNNNNNNNNNNNNNNNNNNNNNNNNNNNNNNNNNNNNNNNNNNNNNNNNNNNNNNNUAACAUAGCCAAUCAGUGGUUUGCUAGGUCGAACAGGUUGAAGGUUAUCAUGGAUUGUUGAGAGGCUGCUAUUUAACAUGUGGCAGGCAACGAGACAUAACGAUGGAGACGGUAAAACUAGCAUGGCAAUGAUAGUAAUGGUAUCUGGGGAAAUGAUCAUCUUGCCUGAGAUCCCGCUUGGAAGAAGAAUGCCUCCAUGAAGCAGACGAACCGAUGUAGUCGAACGGGUCCUCACAUCCGGCACGCUUGCGGAACUCUAUCGAGACGACGCAAACCGGAAACACAAAUCAACACACGAAAUUCACCACACGGUGCAACAACACAAAUGAUGCAUGAACGGUCUAAUGCAAGGCAUGACAAUUCCACACAAUCAAAGCUACACAUUAAGUGAAGUUCAAUAUGCAACGAGUUGCAUAUUGACGAAACUCCACGUUAAUUAUUCAGGUCUAUCCCGAUUAGAUACUCGGCAAUAUUAAUGUUGUCAUACAUGCAAGAGGUGAAGCGGAAAUUAAACUACCUAUCUAGACAUUUUAAAUGAGGUCGGAAAUGACAUAUAGCAUCUCCGAGACGACCUCACAUGCUAAUUUACAAUUCUGUCCAGAUCUGAACUAACACAUUUAACUGGUUGUUAAACAGCAAGACAAAUAGGUUCACGUGAUUCUACGCGUCAAGACAAGCAAUCUACACAUAAAGAACAUCUCCAACGGAGCUACGGGUCAAAAGUUACAAGCAUCGCAAGAUAUGAUGGCAUGAAUGCAAUAUGUGUGCAACGACGGUCACAAGCACUUCAAAACAUACAAACAGGAAGAGAACAUGAAACUACACGAGAUUCUAAGCAAGUUUCAUGUAGGACACGAUCACAACGGAGCUACGGAUCCACCUCUACGAGCAAAACGAGAAAACACUAUAAUCUGUCAAAAUCAGUCACAUAACAUUUUCUACGCCCCACAACUACGGCUACACAACUCCGAUAUGCUCAAGCAAGGCAUGGCACAAAACAGGGCAAGAAGCACUACUACGAACAACUAACAACAACUAGCAUAGCAGCAAGGAACACUAGGGAAAGNNNNNNNNNNNNNNNNNNNNNNNNNNNNNNNNNNNNNNAAGAAGACACAAAAUGGCAUCUCACACACUAUUUCAGACUUAGUGAAAAUAACACCUCAUGAAAGUGUAGUUUUCGAUCUGAAGCUAUAUUGACAGCAACAAAACCAAUAGCUACAGGACUCGAAAUGGCAUGAAACUUCACAGCAUGCUAGAGAAACACAAGGGGUACGACUAACUCCAUUGGACCAACCUCAAAAGAGCUACAAAUCACAAGAUGCAAGCAAGACAAGACAUCAACAAAAUAUAACAGUUCCAGACUUAGAAAUAUUUCAGCUCCGCUAAAACAGCACUAUUUCUAGCAACUUGAGGGCAAUCAAAACACACCUAAACAUGCAUUUGUAUUGCAACCAAAAAUACCAGGGGCUAAAGAAAACAUCUAAGAAGAACUCCCUAGUUGACAACUAAUUCAAACGAAGCACGAAAUAAAUCCUACGACAUAGACAAAAGGGCAUCACGGCAAAAUAUCACGCGAACUAACUUACUCAAAAGCUAAAACUAAUUGACCCCGGAAACAUAUAAAAUAUGUGGGGUUUGCAACACAAAAUAAAGCCAUACAUAAAUGCGGGAAAAUAACCUACGUACGGGAAAAUAAACUACCGGCAAACCCUACACGCAAAGAUACGAGUGACCGCUCUAAAAUACAUGCAAAAAUGAUUCCUAAAACGUGGGCAUUUAUUCUACGACAUACGAACAACCCGGACACGCGCGAAAAAAACUACGGGCAAUAAACCUAUCAAGACAACACGUAAAACUAGGCAUUAGGCACGCUAAACUAAAUCAAACAAAUAUGCAAGUUGUGAAAUCGUGUUCUACUCAUAAAACUAUCCCAAAACCAUAUAAAGUACGCCUCGUUCCGACUUACGGGCUAAAAGAUACGCGCGUUUAAUAUCGUCAUAUUUUUCUGGAAUUUAAUUACAAUUCCAAAAAUCAUCUAUAUUACUAACGGGCCUGCAGCAUGCGCAACAUAAUAAAAAUGCGCUGGGGCGGGGUAUAGCCUCACCUUUGGGCCGUCUCGGAUCGGCCUGGUGAGGAGGCUGGAGCAGACUGGGCCGACGCUGGCGGUGGGGAGGCCGAACGGGCCUUGCUGAGCCGAGGCGGUGGAGGCCGAGCGAGGCCCAGGCGCGAGGCGUCGGUCAUCGUUCCCGGGGAGGCCCCCUCGUCCUCCCGUGAGGAGCCAUGGCGGCGCAGGAGGGAACCGCCGGAGGAGCUCCAUCCUCGGCAGCGAGGGGAACCAGAGGGGAAUGGCGGCACGGGACAGAUCCGGCCACCGGGGCUCCACUCCCGGUGGUGCCGGCGCGAGGAGGAAGCCGGGCAGGGAGAUCGGCCGGCGGGGCGGCGAGCACGGGUUGCAGUUUCAGGCGGCGGCGGGACCGAGAUUCAGGCGGCGCGGCUCGGGGACAACAGUGACCUGGCGCGGCCGACGGGGACCUCCGGCGAGGGGAGGGGCGCCGGCGAGCGGCGCCGGAGGCCGGGCCGACGGGGCUGACUAGAGGCGCUAGCGGGAGGCAUGGGAACACGGGCUCGGGGUUGCUCAAGCGAACGCGGCGGCGCGCAGAUGGGCUUGGCGGGCCUCGCGUGGGCUCGCGGGCCCGGCGGCGCGAGGAGGAGGUGGGAGGUGAGAGAGAGAGGUGGGAGAGGCAGUUAGGGUUGGCUGCGCGGAUCCCGAGGUGGAAGGGGGGGUGUCUAAAAAAAUACACACGGGGACUAUAUAUAGACAAAUGGGGGGGGGGCUAGGUUUAGCGAAAUUUCGAUCCAGAUCCAACCGUGCGGUCGAAUUCGGACGAUUCCGAACGCGGGAACGGGUAAGUGGCCGUGUAGGGUGAUUUACCGGAGAAGAGAGGGAAAACGGGCGGCGCCACAACAAUUUUUAAAUCACCGAUAGACGUCCGACGGUAGACCGAAUACGGUGCCGCUACGGUCGACCGCUCGGGUACCAGACGAACUCCAAUCGCGACGAAAUUCGACAGGCGGCCUAGCUAUAUUAAAAUAAGACCGCACAUCAAAUCUCAACCCGAUCAGAGAAAGUUUUAAAUGCACUUUAAAAACAGGGUUUCGACGAUGCCGCAGGCGCGUGCGAGUGCUGUCGGGCAUGGAACGAACAACGACGAUAACCGGCAACUAACAACGGAUGCAACGUUUGAAAACUGGCGGCAACGGAGAUGCCGAUGCAAUGNNNNNNNNNNNNNNNNNNNNNNNNNNNNNNNNNNNNNNNNNNNNNNNNNNNNNNNNNNNNNNNNNNNNNNNNNNNNNNNNNNNNNNNNNNNNNNNNNNNNUGAACUAAAAUAUUGUGGUUACAAAUAUAUUCAUCAAGGUAUGUAUAUUAUAGGAGUUAAAGGUAUGACAAGAAAGAAAUUAGGAGCAAAGGUGCUUAUAACUCUAUUAGACCGAAGGUGGGAAUCAGUAGAUAAAGCAGCAUUAGGAUUUUUAGAAGGAGACAUGAAUGAAAAUAGGUUAAUAACCUAUAUAGCUCCAGACCUAAUGAUGCCUGUAAAAGAAUUUAUUGAAAAAAUGAGUUUUGGUUUCCAAACUAAGGGAUAUGAAGAUUUUAAAGGAACAAAUUUGUUAGUAAGCAUAGAAUUUAUAGGAAGGCUUACUAACAGAAGUAACUCUAGAUAUAGAGUUAAUGUGAGCGAUGUAAUUGAUAGUAUGCAAUCAAAGGGUAUUAAAUUUAUGAAUCCACUUAAAAUUGGUUCUGAAGAAAGAGCGGGAGAAGAGUGGAAGAUUGGUGAAUUAAUAGAGAAAAAAGAAUUAAAGCAACCUGAAAACUAUAUAAGUUAUCAAAAUUGUGAAGGAAGUAGUAGCAUUAGAUUUAUGAACUAUAAAUCGGCAUCAAUAGAAGACGCAGAAUCCUUUAUGUCAGAAACAGAAUCUAUUGACGAUAAGAAUAAAGGUGUGACCGAAUGCAUGGAAAAAGCUAAUUUAGAUGAUGAAAUAAUUCACUGGGAAAAUAAGCUAAAGCAUAUAGAUUGGGAAUAUAAAAAUUCUAUGACAAAAGAUUGGCCUAAGAUAAGAGAAAGAGAAUUGUUUAUAAUUAGAGAAAUUGCAAGGUUAAAAAAACUAAAAAAUGAGAAGAAGUUGGUAACUAGUGGUUCAAUUAUGCCAAAUACAUCAUCAAUUGAAAGGGGAGAACAUGCUGGUAGUAAUAAUGAUGCUAUCACUAAUAGAGAUAAGAAUAUUGCUCAGGAAGAAGAAGUUGUUAGUGAAGAAGAGCAAUGGGAUAUAAAUAAUAAGUUAUUACUAGAAAGUUAUGAAGAGGAAGAGGAAUUAGUAAAAGAUAUGUGGUUAGAAGAUGAAAAUUAUAAUGAUUCGGAGCAGAAUAGUGAUUUUUAUAACUCACUAGAUGAUGUGGGACUACAAAAUUUAGACAAUGCAAUGGAAGCUAUGGAAGUAGAAAGUAGUAAUAAAAGAAGAAAGGGAUAUGGCGAGUCUUCGGUAAAAAGAGAAGGAGAGAGAGAGAGACCUACCAGAUCAGCUGGACAAUGGCCUCCAGAAAAGGAUGAUUAUCAACCUACAUAUAUCCCUGGACAAUAUAGAUAUAUGGGUGCUAAAAGAAGAGAUUUUGAAAAGCCAGUGCAAUUUCAAAAUUAUAAGAAUGAUGGCGCUAUUUUAAACCUAGCAGCUCAUGACCCUAUAGAUUGGCCGAAUAUAAUCAGCAUAUGGAAAGGUUUAAUAGUUCAAAAAUAUAUACAAAACCAGUAUAAUAUAGGAACUAAGGUAGAAGAUAUGUUAACAUAUCUUGAAACAUUUUUAGGAGAAUCUGUAAAAGUUCUAUGGGAACAAUGGGUAGAGACAUAUCCUAAUCAGUAUGAAGAAUUAAAAAGGGCCGGAAGUAACCCUAAUAACUCUGCAAAUGUUAUUUCAAAUAUGAUCAUCGCAGAAGACCCAGAAUUAGGAUAUACCUCACUACAAAACGAAAGGUUGAGAGAAAUAGAAAAACUAACAUUAACUAGCUGGAAAGGAAUAAAAGAAUUCUCUCAACAUUAUUUAUAUAAUGCUACCACUGCGAAGCAAGGGUUUAAUGUAGGUGUUGUAGAAAGAUAUUUUAAUAAGUUGCCAGACCCUCUAGGAUCCAUAAUAUUUGAAGAAUAUAAAAAAGAAACAGGUGGAAACGUGGUAAAUAUAUCUCAAGCCAUAACAUUUGUUUUUAAACAAUUAAGAAAGGUAUGUACAGGCAUACAAGCCCAAAGGUCUAUGAAGAAGUCAGAUUACAAUUUCUGCAAUAACAUUGUCCAAAUACCGCUUACGUAUGGAGAAGAAAGGCAUCGGAAAAACAAAUAUUAUAAACCACAAAGGAGAGAUAAUAGAAAUUUUAGAACAAAGAAAAGAUAUUUCUUGAGAAGGUCCGAUAAUAGAGCCCCAUUCUUGCACAAAAGAAAUGUAAGAAGAUAUAAUCCUAAGAAAUCAUAUGAUAAAACAUGCAGGUGUUUCAUAUGUAACUCUCCCGAUCACUUAAGUAGAACUUGCCCUAAUAAAGACCAGAAAAGGUACUCUAGCAAAUAUGAGGAGCAAGAGAGAGUAUUAAUAGUAGAUAGUGUUAAUGAGAAUAUUUUGGUAUGUGAUGAUGAAAUAAAAGACGACGAGUCAAUAUAUUCAAUCAUAGAGACAGAUGAAGUAGAAAAUGAGACUCCAGAAUAUGAAUCAAGCGAUGAUGAAAUAGACCUAAUUGAUGAAUUAGCCGGUUUAAAGAUCGAAAUGAUGAAUCAAGUAGAUUGUGAACAUGACUGGAUUAAAGGAAAAGGGGAUUAUAACAUAAAAUGUGCUUUCUGUAUAUAUUAUCCUAGCCAAGAUAAUAGAUUCACAUGUAGUUUAUGCUUAAAGCAAGCAUGUACCUCCUGUCUAAAAGUCAGUAAUCAAAAAUGGAGACAGGAAAUAGAAUGGGAGCCAGAAGAAAGAAUAUUAUCCAGCAGGGUUAGAAACUUAGAAAAUAGAAUAAAUAAGCUAGAAACAGAAUUAGAAAAGCUAAAGGAUGAAUUAGAAGAUAAUAAAGAGCAAGAUAAUAAGGUUGCAAAAAUCACAGAGAUGAAAGAACAAAUGAUAACAAUAAGGGAUAAAAAAGGAGAUAAAUUAAUACAAUUAAAAGAUGCAAUAACUAGUUUUGGAAACAAAUAUAUUGUUCGAUUACCAUUCAAAGAAGUGUUAGGGAUAGAAUCCCAGUUAGAAUAGUUCUAAAGCCAAACAUUUCUUAUAAAGUGUUAGCGCUACUAGAUACGGGUUGCACAAAGAACAUCAUACAUGAUAAAUAUUUCAUGAGAUGUCCAUAAAUAGUUGAAACUAUAGAUAAUAAUAAGGCUGAAGUAUCUACCGAUAUGUCAGGAAUAAAGAAAAUCCACAACCAGUUAGCAUAUAAUAUUGAAGCAUACAUAAAUGGCACGAAAUAUAUAAUAGAUGAAAUUACAAUAAGAGAUUUAUCAGUAAUAAAUGAUGACAUGAUAAUAGGGUUAAGGUUUUUACAACAGUCUUUACAAACUACAAUUAUACAUGAAGAAGGGGUUACAUUUAUCCCUUAUCAAGAUAAUCUCCCAUACAUAUCUGAAGUAAGAAAGCAAAGAAAAGCUUUGCAAAAUGUAGAGAUAUCUAAUUUGGAUGGAGAAUAUAGUACAAGUCCAGAGGUAGCCCUUGAAUUCUGUAAAGAUGAAGAACUUAGUGAGACCAUAGAAGAAUAUCAUAUAGAAAAUACAAGUACAGAAUGCAUAGCAUUACAAUCAUUUUCACCAAAUUGGUAUAGAGACAUAAAAUCCAAAAAAGAUAUAGAUAAGAUAGUGCAAAGAUUAGAAAACAUACAAAUUAUAGGGGAAAUACCGAUGAGACAUUGGGAAAGGAACUCUAUAGUUUGCAAAAUAAAUAUUAUAAAUCCAGACUAUAUCAUCAAGUCAGGGCCAAUAGAAGCUACUCCUAAAGAUAUUGAAGAGUUCAAAAUGCAUAUUGAGGAAUUAUUAAAAUUAAAAGCAAUUAGAUAAAGUAGAAGUCCUCAUAGGUCUGCUGCUUUUAUAGUGAGAAAUCAUGCUGAAGAGGUGAGAGGUAAAUCCAGAAUGGUAAUUAACUUUAAAAUGCUUAAUGAUAAUACGGUAGAUGAUGCAUACAACAUACCUAAUAAACAGGAAUGGAUCAAUAGAAUACAAGGAAGCAAAUUUUUCUCUAAAUUUGACUUAAAAGCAGGGUUUUGGCAAGUGAAAAUGGCCGAAGAAUCCAUUCCAUGGACUGCCUUUACUUGUCCGCAAGGCCAUUAUGAAUGGCUAGUAAUGCCAUUGGGUCUAAAGAAUGCACCUGCACUAUUUCAAAGGAAAAUGCAAAAUAUAUUUAAUGAGAACCAGGCCUUUAUAUUAGUAUACGUAGAUGAUUUGUUAGUAUUCUCAAAAUCAUAUAAAGAGCAUAUAGCCCAUCUCGAAGUGUUCUUUCGCAAGGUAGAACAAAAUGGGCUCAUAUUAUCAAAAAAGAAGAUGGAAAUUUGUAAAGAAAGAAUAAAUUUCCUUGGUCAUGAAAUAGGAGAAGGAAAAAUAUAUUUGCAAGAACACAUUGCAAAGAAAAUUUUAGAGUUUCCUGAUAAUAUGAGUGAUAAAAAAGUUCUACAACAAUUCUUAGGAAUUGUAAACUAUGCAAGAAAUUACAUAGGUAACCUAGCAAAGCUAGCCGGACCUUUAUAUGCUAAAUUAAGAAAGAAUGGUCAGAGAUAUUUUAAUUCUGAAGAUAUAAAAUUAGUAAAGGCCAUCAAAGAAAAAGUCAAGAAUUUAAAGCCCCUAGAAUUGCCUCUAGAAGAUAAUUAUUUUAUUAUUGAAACAGAUGCAUCUAAAGUAGGAUGGGGUGCUAUAUUAAAACAAAAACCUAAUAAAUAUUCCCCGAAAGCAGAUGAAAAAAUAUGUAGAUAUGCUUCAGGAAGUUAUAAGUUAAAAACGGUAAAUAAUAUUGAUAGAGAAAUCCUUGCAGUUGUAAAUGCAAUAAAUGCUUUUAGGUUAUAUCUAGGAUUCAAAGAAUUUACAGUGCGAACUGAUUGUGAAGCCAUAUGUCGAUAUUAUAAUAAAAUUAAUAGUAAGAAAAGUUCAACCAGAAGAUGGGUCUUAUUUGAAGACACCAUAGCUGGGAAUGGUUAUAAAGUUAUUUUUGAGCAUAUUAAGGGAAAAGAUAAUACUUUACCUGACAUAUUUUCUCGUGCAUCAAAUUUGCAGAAAUGAAGAAAGGAUUAUUCCCCACUAGGGACGAAUGCUUCUUCUUUGGAGAGGAGAACAGGCUGAAGAUAUUUCAGCCAAAUACCUUCAAUUUCAAGCCAAAAGCCCAUAUCAAGCUUGAUGAAAUUCAGAGGUGCAUACUGGACAAUUUCUGGUUCCAAUAUACCAAUAAGAGAGAUGAAAAAGGAUAUAUGCUAUCAAUUCUAAAUAGCUUGGCAGAAUAUUUUAACCAAAUGAAUAUGAAGGCGGCAAAACUAGAAAGGGCUGAAAUACAAAAAGGAGAAAUAUUAUAUGUUUUAUUUGACGGAAAUAAACCCGGAAUAUAUUUGACAUGGGAAGACAUCAUGAUAGAGAAACUAGAUGCAAAACGAAUGGGACAAGACUUAACAUUCAAAAAAUAUGAAGGUAUUGAUGAGGCCUUGUUUUGGGCAAGAAAAAUGAUAGGGGAAAACUAUUAUAUUGACCCCAAGGCUAAAGAUUAUAUCCAGAAGAGAAAGAAUGCAGAUAACAAUGCAUCUAUAUGCCAAUAUUUAAAAUAACCAAGGGAGAAUCAUCAGGAAAGAAUAUAAAGGAAGAAGGUUCUCCAAAAAAUUAUACAUAUAAAGAAUGCCUUCUCAAGGGCCUAGACCCUUUGGAUAGUGAAUAUAUAGAUCAAGAAAUGGACAAAAGAUUUGAAGAAUUGUCAAAAAUAAUGAAGAAAGAAUUAAAGGAAGAGAUAUUAGAAGAAAUAAGGGUUGAAAUGAAAAUAAGAUUUGAAGAUAUAAAGAAAGAAUGUGAUACGAAGUAUGAUUUCCAUCUCUUAGAUGAGGAUCAUAUGGAUAUCGCACGGCAUGGGCAGCCACCUGAGUAAAACCCAACUUCAAAUGUCACUGAAUUUGAAUUGAUAUUACUAUCAAUCAUUCGGGCGCGGAGGACAUAUACUCCGACUGAAUGCUGAUAGGAAUUUAGAAUCUUAGUGUAUAUUGAUAUGAAAUAUCAAUUAUAUGGGCAGGGAAGACCCCCCUCAAAAAAAAUGCAGCAUGUAUGCGUACGCAUAUCAAUAGCCAAUGCACACACAUGUGCAUGUUUCCAGCCAAGUAUGCCCGCAUACACAUAUCAGCAGGCAGUGUACGGGCACAUGCAUAUCCAAAGAUUGUAAUAUUCCUGAAGAUUAAAGUCCAAGACAAAAUCAUGACGAAGAAGAAAAUCAAAAAAGAAGACAAUGCCACCUCCAUUGGCAGCCAAGACACGGUGUACAAACCUCUCCAACAUGCACUCAAUACCCUAGAAAGAAGGGCUAUAAUGGCUACAAAGCCUAUAAAGCCUAGAAGGCCUAAAAACUAGGUGCAUGAUGGACAAGGAGAAAGAAGGAGGAAAUAAUAGAGGAGCCUUCUCCCGGAAGCCAUCCAAGAGGUGCUCUCUUGCCUAUAAAAGGAGGAGCCUUGCUGCGAAGAGAGACACCAGACGGAGAAGAACCAGCCACAGAUAGAGCACAGAGUUGCAACUCAGCUAGCAAGCUCUUUGCUCAAGUAGUAGUAAUAGUAGUACUUCCCCAUCGUGUAAUAAAGAGCUGCAAUAUUUAGAGCAUUUGUAAGCUCGCGAAGAUAGUUAGAAGGUAAUUUCUUUAUCCUUGUGUAAACCCUUCGGGGGUUCCCGAAAGGGAAAACCAUAUGUAAAUUAUGUUGUGGAAAUGAUGUAGUUUCGUGUUUUCACUUGGUAUUUUAUUUUUGAAUUUAUGGAACGAGUUCUUAUGCUAGGGAUCCUAUAGGAGAAAACUCUGCCGGUAGUUCUCUGUGUAGCCUUUUAUGGCAUUUGAAUGAGAACCUUAUGGCCGUAGAGAAGUGUUCCCUUCGGGUGGAACUGCCUGGGAAGACGAUAGGAAUUUACUCCAUAAAUUUGCAACUAAAACAUCAAGUGAACGAACUUAGCUACAUCUGAAACAACAUAAUGAUAAAUAUGGUGAGUACUGAGUAGGAUAUUACACCACUGCGUACACCUCAGUCGUCUUGUUGGCCUCGACAGCCCCUCAAAGAUCCUGCAAUAUAAGCGAAAUAAUUUAAAAACACUUCGUAUUAAAAUAAUAUAAAAUAAAUAAAAANNNNNNNNNNNNNNNNNNNNNNNNNNNNNNNNNNNNNNNNNNNUUAUAUACUACCACGCGGGAGUAUAUAUACUAAUUUAUCAUUUUACUAUGUUCACAUACUAUAUAUAAGAUUUUUCAAACUGAGUUACAUUGAAAAAUUACAAGUUGACCCAUAGUUUUUCUGAUAUUUAUAAAAUACAUAUAUAUUUGUAUGUAAAAAAUAAUACACAAAAUAUGAUACAUACUAUAAAAAAAGUAUAUAUACUACCUAAACAUGAUUAUAUACUACAUACUACACAUACAUACUCUUCGAUUUGAUAGAUACUACAUACAACAUACUCCCUCUGUUCCUAAAUAUAAGUCUUUUAAGAUAUUUCACUAGGAGUCUACAUACGGAGCAAAAUGAGUGAAUCUACAUUCUAAAGUGUGUCUAUAUGCAUCCGUAUGUAGUCCACUAAUGAAACCUCUUUAAAGACUUAUAUUUAGGAACGGAGGAAGUACAAAACGCAAGUGGUGGUAACUACCAUCGUUGGUAUAAGGAUGGUAAUGGAUAGGAUAUGGGCAGGGUAGAGCAAUACCAUACCCAUACCCGUAUAGUUAAUGGGUAUAAAAUUCUACCCAUACCUAUAUCUACGGGUAUAAAACUUUACCCAUACCCAUACCCGACGAUUACGUGUACCCAUGGGGUACCCAGCGGGUAGAACAAAUAGUACACAAGUUCUUCACAAUUUUACACUCACUGAUAGCACAUUUGACACAAAAUUGAAUUAUCUUGGCUCGAUAAGAGGUAGAUGAGUACAUGGACAUGAGAAAUAUUGAGAAAUCACAACAUACUCAUAAGUUAUUAGGAGUAGAUGAGUCACAUGAAAAAUUAAUGAUUAAUUGGCGAUAACAUAACAUUAGUUCACAAAUGGGUAGGGUAUGGGUAUACCCAUGGGUACAAGGCUAUACCCGUACCCUACCCAUGAUUUAACACAUAGGGUAUGGGUACUACCCAUGGGUAUGCCCAUGGUAUAUACAAUUUCUCCUACAACCUCCAGACCAUUACAUACAUGCAUUAAUUGGUGUAGUGCUAUUCUUCGUCGGGAGCUAUGACCUACUCAAGCAAAAAAAACAUCAUUUCUUCUUCAAGUGCUAGUUUCCGGUCCUUUGGUAGGAGCUUGUCCCGUAUCUCCGACAUCUUUAAAAAAGAAGACGAAUAUGAAUAUAUUAGUUAUAUGUGUAUAUAUAUUAGACCAUGACAAAAAAAUUGUGAAUAAUGUUUACGUACCUUGAAGACGGAAUGGGACGAGUAUAUCUGGAGACAGAAGCUCUUUUGCUGAAGGAGGCCGUGGAUGAAGAUGGGACCGACCUUUCCUGUAUUGACAUGAUGGUUGAUCAGGCCAACUCCACCGCACGACCCCAAACGGACGUCCGUUUUGCUCGGAUUUUGUCUGUCUGGGUGGGGAGGUGGGGUCGUGUUCGGCCCUGUCCUGGGAUGCGUUGGCCACGCGCCCAGCCGCAUCCGUUUGCCCUAUCUUGUCUGCCUUCAAAAAGAACAACGAUUCAGAUGCCAGCGGCCAGUUCACACUAGCGGCCCUAGUUCACGCCGGCAACACAGCCGGCGGCCUACACGUCCUCGCCGGCAACAAAGCCAGCGGCCGGUAACACGGCCAGCCUCCAAAAUGAAUAGUUUUCUUUGCCAGCAACACAGCCAGCGGCCGGCAACACAGUCAACCUCCAAAAUGAAUCUGUUUCUUGCCGGCACACAGCUAUUGGAAAUAUGCCCUAGAGGCAACAAUAAAAUGGUUAUUAUCAUAUUUCCUUGUUCAUGAUAAUCGUCUAUUGUUCAUGCUAUAAUUGUAUUAACAGGAAACAGUAGUACAUGUGUGAAUAAAUAGAUCACAAUGUGUCCCUAGCAAGCCUCUAGUUGGCUAGCUCGUUAGUCAAUAGAUGAUCAUGGUUUCCUGGUCAUGGGCAUUAGAUGUCAUUGAUAACGGGAUCACAUCAUUGGGAGAAUGAUGUGAUGGACAAGACCCAAUCCUAAGCGUAGCACUAGAUCGUAUUGUUCGUAUGCUAAAGCUUCUCCAAUGUCAAGUAUCUUUUCCUUCGACCGUGAGAUUGUGCAACUCCCGGAUCCCGUAGGAGUGCUUUGGGUGUAUCAAACGUCACAACAUAACUGGGUGACUAUAAAGGUGCACUACGGGUAUCUCCAAAAGUGUCUGUUGGGUUGGUACGAAUCGAGAUCGGGAUUUGUCACUCCGUGUGACGGAGAGGUAUCUCUGGGCCCACUCGAUAGAACAUCAUCAUGAGCUCAAUGUGACUAAGGAGUUAGUCACACGAUGACGUGCUACGGAACGAGUAAAGAGACUUACCGGUAACGAGAUUGAACAAGGUAUAGGUAUACCGACGAUCGAAUCUCGGGCAAGUUCUAUACCGACAGACAAAAGGAAUUGUAUACGGGAUUGAUUGAAUCCUUGACAUCGUGGUUCAUCCGAUGAGAUCAUCGUGGAGCAAGUGGGAGCCACCAUGGGUAUCCAGAUCCCGCUGAUUGUUAUUGGCCAGAGAGGUGUCUCGGUCAUGUCUAGCUGUCUCCCGAACCCGUAGGGUCUACACACUUAAGGUUCAAUGACGCCAGGGUUAUAGGGAAUUGUUAUACGCGGUUAUCGAAAGUUGUUCGGAGUCCCGGAUGAGAUCCCGGACGUCACGAGGAGCUCCGGAAUGGUCCAAAGGUAAAGGUUUAUAUAUAGGACGGAUGGUUUCAGACACCGGAAGUGUUUCGGGCGUCACCGGUAACGUACCAGGACCACCGGAGGUGGCCCCGGGGGUCCACCGGAAGGGGCAACGACCCCGGGAGGCUAGAUGGGCCAAGUGCGGGAGGGAACCAGCCCCUAGGUGGGCUGGUGCGCCCCCCACAGUCAGCCCAAGGCGCAGGAGGUGGAGAGGGGGGAAACCCUAGGCGUUGGUGGGCCUAAGGCCCACCUAGGGGCGCGCCACCCCUCCCCCGUGCCCUGGCCGCUGCACCUCCCAUCUGGGGGGGCUGCCGCACCACCUAGGGUGGGAACCCUAGGGGUGGCAACCCCCUUCCCCUCCUCCUAUAUACAGUGGGCACUUUUGGGCUUUUGGAGACACAGUUUUCCCUCUCCCUUGGCGCAGCCCUGCUCUUCUUUCUCCUCCUGUGUGCCGGUGCUUGGCGAAGCCCUGCCGGGAGACCUCGUCUCUCCAUCGACACCACGCCGUCGUGCUGCCGGAGAUCUUCCCGAACCUCUCCCUCCUCCUUGUUGGAUCAAGGUGCGGGAGACGUCACCGGGUUGCAUGUGUGUUGAACGCGGAGGUGCCAUGGUUCGGCACUAGAUCGGAAUCACACCGCGAUCUGAAUCGCCGCGAGUACGACUCCAUCAACCGCGUUCUAGCAACGCUUCCGCUUAGCGAUCUUCAAAGGUAUGAAGAUGCACUCACCCCUCUCUCGUUUCUGGUCUCUCCAUAGGAAGAUCUGAAUAUGCGUAGGAAUUUUUUUGAAUUUAUGCUACGUUCCCCAACAGUGGCAUCCGAGCCAGGUUUUCUAUGCGUAGAUUCUAUGCACGAGUAGAACACAAAAGGUUGUGGGCGAUGAUUUGUCAAUUGCUUGAUGCUACUAGUCUUAUUCUUUUCCGGCGGUAUUGUGGGAUGAAGCGGCCCGGACCGACCUUACACGUACGCUUACGUGAGACUGGUUCCACCGACAGACAUGCACACCGUGCAUAAAGGUGGCUAGCGGGUGUCUGUCUCUCCCACUCUAGUCGGAUUGGAUUUGAUGAAAAGGGUCCUUACGAAGGGUAAAUAGCUUUGGCAUAUCAUCGUUGUGGCUGUCACGUAGGUAAGAAGGCGUUCUUGCUAGAAACCAAAAUCAGCCACGUAAAACUUGCAACAACAAUUAGAGGACGUCUAACUUGUUUUUGCAGGGUUUGACAUGUGAUGUGAUAUGGCCAAAGUUGUGAUGUUGCAUGUAUGAUGUAUGAGAUGAUCAUGUUAUUGUAAUAGGUUUCACGACUUGCAUGUCGAUGAGUAUGACAACCGGCACGAGCCAUAGGAGUUGUCUUAAUUUAUUGUAUGAGAUGCAACGUCAUGUGCUUACUACUUUUACUUCAUUGCUAACAGUUAGCUAUAGUAGUAGUGAUAGUAGUAGUUGGCGUGACGACUUCACGGAGACACGAUGAUGGAGAUCAUGGUGUGACGCCGGUGACGAUGAUGAUCAUGCGAUGCCUGAAGAUGGAGAUCGAAAGAGCAAAGAUGAUAAUGGCCAUAUCAUGUCACUAUAUGAUUGCAUUGUGAUGUUUAUCAUGUUUAUCAUCUUAUUGCUUAGAACGACGGUAGCAUAAUAAGAUGAUCCCUCUUAAAAUUUCGAGAACGUAUUCCCCUAAGUGUGCACUGUUGCGAAGGAUCGUUGUCUCGAAGCACCACGUGAUGAUCGGGUGUGAUAGAUUCUAACGUUCACAUACAACGGGUGUAAGCCAGAUUUACACACGCAAAACACCUAGGUUGACUCGACGAGCUUAUCAUGUACAGACAUGACCUCGAAUACAAGAGACCGAAAGGUCGAACAUGAGUCCUAUGGUUGAAUACGAUCAGCAUGAAGUUGCUCACCAUGUGACUAGUCCGUAUCACGUGAUGAUCGGACACGGGUUAGUCAACAUGGAUCAUGUAUCACUUAGAUGACUAGAGGGAUGUCGAUUUAAGUGGGAGUUCAUACUUAAUUUGAUUAAAUGAACUUAAUUGUCACGAACUUAGUCUAAAAGGUUUGUCUUUAUAAAUAUUGUAGAUGGCCAACGUCAACCUCAAUUUCAAUGCAUUCCUAGAGAAAACAAGCUGAAAGAUGAUGGUAGCAACUAUGCGGACUGGGUUCGCAACUUGAAGCUCAUCCUUGAAGCAGCUAAAAAGGCUUAUGUCCUUGAUGCGCCGCUAGGUGACCCUCCCGCUCCCGCAGCAGCCCAGGACAUUCUGAACGUCUGGCAAACACGGAGUGAUGACUACUCUCUGGUUAGGUGUGGCAUGCUAUAUAGUUUAGAAACGGGGCUCCAAAGGCGUUUUGAGAAACAUGGUGCAUAUGAGAUGUUCCAAGAGCUGAAGCUAGUUUUUCAAGAUCAUGCCCUUGUCAAGAGAUAUGAAGUCUCCGAUAAGUUCUUUAGCUGUAAGAUGGAGGAGAACAGUUUUGUUAGUGAGCACAUACUCAAAAUGUCUGGGUUACACGGUCGUCUGACUUCACUUGGAGUCGAACUUCCGGAUGAUGUUAUAAUUGACAAAAUCCUCCAGUCUCUCCCACCAAGCUACAAAGGCUUUGUGCUGAACUGCAACAUGCAAGGGAUGGAGAAGACCAUUCCCGAGUUGUACUCGAUGCUCAAGUCUGCAGAAGUAUAAAUCAUGAAAGAGCAUCAAGUGUUGAUGGUCAACAAGACCACUAGUUUCAAGAAGGGCAAGGGUAAGAAGAACUUCAAGAAAGACGGCAAAGCCAUUGCCGCGCCCGGUAAGCCAGAUGUCAGGAAGAAGAAAAAGAAUGGACCCAAGCCUGAGACUGAGUGCUUCUAUUGCAAGGGAAAGGGUCACUGGAAGCGGAACUGCCCCAAAUACUUAGCGGACAAGAAGGCCGGCAACAUUAAAGGUAUAUGUGAUAUACAUGUUAUUGAUGUGUACCUUACCAGCGCUCGUAGUAGCUCUUGGGUAUUUGAUACCGGUGUUGUUGCUCACAUUUGCAACUCAAAGCAGGAACUGAGGAAUAAGCGGAGACUGGCCAAGGAUGAGGUGACGAUGCGCGUCGGGAAUGGCUCCAAGGUCGAUGUGAUCGCCGUCGGCACGCUACCUCUACAUCUACCGUCGGGAUUAGUUUUAAACCUUAAUAAUUGUUAUUUAGUACCAGCUUUAAGCAUGAAUAUUGUAUCAGGGUCUUGCUUAAUGCGAGACGGCUACUCAUUUAAGUCAGAGAAUAAUGGUUGUUCUAUUUAUAUGAGUGAUAUGUUUUAUGGUCAUGCUCCGCUGGUGAAUGGUUUAUUCCUCAUGAAUCUCGAUCUGAUGUUACGCAUAUUCAUAGUGUGAGUACCAAAAGAUGUAAAGUUGAUAAUUAUAGUCCCACAUACUUGUGGCACUGCCGCCUUGGUUAUAUCGGCGUUAAGCGCAUGAAGAAGCUCCAUACUGAUGGACUAUUAGAGUCUCUUGACUUUGAAUCAUUUGACACAUGCGAACCGUGCCUCAUGGGCAAGAUGACUAAGACUCCAUUCUCAGGAAUAAUGGAGAGAGCAACCGACUUAUUGGAAAUAAUACAUACUGAUGUGUGUGGUCCAAUGAACGUUGAAGCUCGCGGUGGCUAUCGUUAUGUUCUCACUCUCACCGAUGAUUUGAGUAGGUAUGGGUAUAUCUACUUGAUGAAGCACAAAUCUGAGACGUUUGAAAAGUUCAAGGAAUUUCAGAGUGAGGUCGAGAAUCAACGUGACAGAAAAAUUAAGUGUCUACGAUCUGAUCGUGGAGGAGAAUAUUUGAGUCACGAGUUUGGCACACACCUAAGGAAGUGUGGAAUCAUUUCACAACUGACGCCGCCUGGCACACCGCAACGCAAUGGAGUGUCUGAACGUCGUAGUCACACUUUAUUAGAUAUGGUACGAUCUAUGAUGUCUCUUACCGAUUUACCGCUAUCAUUUUGGGGAUACACAUUAGAAACUGCAGCAUUCACUUUAAAUAGGGCACCGUCUAAAUCCGUUGAGACGACACCGUAUGAACUAUGGUUUGGCAAGAAACCUAAGUUGUCGUUUUUUAAAGUUUGGGGCCGCAAUGCUUAUGUGAAGAAAAUUCAACUAGAAAAGCUCGAACCCAAAGCGGAGAAAUGCGUAUUUAUAGGAUACCGUAAGGAAACUAUUGGGUAUACCUUCUAUCUUAGAUCUGAAGGUAAAACCUUUCUUGCCAAGAACGGAUCCUUUCUACCNNNNNNNNNNNNNNNNNNNNNNNNNNNNNNNNNNNNNNNNNNNNNNNNNNNNNNNNNNNNNNNNNNNNNNNNNNNNNNNNNNNNNNNNNNNNNNNNNNNNUUACGUUAUCUUCAAGUUAUCUAGAACCAGUGUUAAACAAAGUUUCCACGUUGCCACAUAACCGCGGGCACGGCUUUCCGAAAAGAUUUAACCCUGCAGGGUGCUCCAACUAGUCCAUCACAAAUUACCACAAGCCGCAUAGAAAUCCUCAAUCACGAAGCUCGCGAUCUCGUCGGAUUCCCUAGUGGAAAACCUCAACUCUCAGAUUACCCAAAGCAUCACCGGAAUCCCGAUGCACAAGAUAUCUCGGCAAAGGUAAAACUAAUCCAGCAAGGCCGCCCGGCGUGUCAACGAUCCCGAUAGGAGCCGCGUAUCUCGUUCUCAGGACACGACGGAUAAGCACAGCGUACGGUGGCCUGAUAGAAAUCUCCCGAGUUGCCCCGAGUUGGCCCCGCAAACGGCUCUAGUUUUGGACCAGCACCAACAGCACUGGCCCCCCUGUAUUAUGUAGAAUUACUCCUCGGGUAACGCUAACUCCCUAUGCAUUUCAAUUUAACAGAAUUAUUAUGUUGGGCAAAUAGUACCAAUAUUGGGCCUUGCCAGACUAGCUUUAAUCUAAAACGAAUUAUCAAGGGGGUCCCCAUAACAACCCCGAUCGUGUUAGGAGCGCUCGAUUAUGGAACAUAACACCGGUAGCCGAAACUAAGGGGGCAAAGGUGGAACAAAACACCAGGCUAGAAAGGCCGAGCCUUCCACCUUUUACCAAGUAUAUAGGUGCAUUAAAUUAAAUAACAUUUAAUAUGGUGAUAUGACAAGGAACCCAUGCUUUCACAUGGAAGCAACUACACCUGCAACUAGCAACGCUAUCAACAGGGUUAAGCAAGCAGUAACAUAGCCAAUCAGUGGUUUGCUAGGUCGAACAGGUUGAAGGUUAUCAUGGCAUUGUUGAGAGGCUGGUAUUUAACAUGUGGCAGGCAACGAGACAUAACGAUAGAGACGGUAAAACUAGCAUGGCAAUGAUAGUAAUGGUAUCUGGGGAAAUGAUCAUCUUGCCUGAGAUCCCGCUUGGAAGAAGAAUGCCUCCAUGAAGCAGACGAACCGAUGUAGUCGAACGGGUCCUCACAUCCGGCACGCUUGCGGAACUCUAUCGAGACGACGCAAACCGGAAACACAAAUCAACACACGAAAUUCACCACACGGUGCAACAACACAAAUGAUGCAUGAACGGUCUAAUGCAAGGCAUGACAAUUCCACACAAUCAAAGCUACACAUUAAGUGAAGUUCAAUAUGCAACGAGUUGCAUAUUGACGAAACUCCACGUUAAUUAUUCAGGUCUAUCCCGAUUAGAUACUCGGCAAUAUUAAUGUUGUCAUACAUGCAAGAGGUGAAGCGGAAAUUAAACUACCUAUCUAGACAUUUUAAAUGAGGUCGGAAAUGACAUAUAGCAUCUCCGAGACGACCUCACAUGUUAAUUUACAAUUCUGUCCAGAUCUGAACUAACACAUUUAACUGGUUGUUAAACAGCAAGACAAAUAGGUUCACGUGAUUCUACGCGUCAAGACAAGCAAUCUACACAUAAAGAACAUCUCCGACGGAGCUACGGGUCAAAAGUUACAAGCAUCGCAAGAUAUGAUGGCAUGAAUGCAAUANNNNNNNNNNNNNNNNNNNNNNNNNNNNNNNNNNNNNNNNNNNNNNNNNNNNNNNNNNNNNNNNNNNNNNNNNNNNNNNNNNNNNNNNNNNNNNNNNNNNCCCCUUUAUAUAGUGGGGGAAGGAAUCAGACCGUUACCCCCACUAUCUACCCGAGCUCCAGCGGUACUACCGCUGAUUGCUGCGGUACUACCGCUCGCACUCCAGCGGUACUACCGCUGCCACAGCUAGCGGUACUACCGCUGGCCCCAGCGGUACUACCGCUGGGCCCCUGGUAGUGGAAAGGCACAACCACCGCCAAGAUAGUAUUCGCAUAAAGGUCCGUCCACGAACAACCGCUAGGCAGGCGGUACUAAGCUCCUGGAGCGGUACUACCGCUGACCAGUGGCGGUACUUGUUGGAAAUAUGACCUAGAGGCAAUAAUAAUAUGGUUAUUAUCAUAUUUCCUUGUUCAUGAUAAUCGUCUAUGUUCAUGCUAUAAUUGUAUUAACAGGAAACAGUAAUACAUGUGUGAAUAAAUAGAUCACAAUGUGUCCCUAGCAAGCCUCUAGUUAGCUAGCUCGUUAGUCAAUAGAUGAUCAUGGUUUCCUGAUCAUGGGCAUUAGAUGUCAUUGAUAACGGGAUCACAUCAUUGAGAGAAUGAUGUGAUGGACAAGACCCAAUCCUAAGCCUAGCGCUAGAUCGUAUUGUUCGUAUGCUAAUGCUUUUCUAAUGUCAAGUAUCUUUUCCUUCGACCGUGAGAUUGUGCAACUCCCGGAUACCGUAGGAGUGCUUUGGGUGUAUCAAACGUCACAACGUAACUGGGUGACUAUAAAGGUGCACUACGGGUACCUCCGAAUGUGUCUGUUGGGUUGGUAUGAAUCGAGAUCGGGAUUUGUCACUCCGUGUGACGGAGAGGUAUCUCUGGGCCACUCGGUAGAACAUCAUCAUGAGCUCAAUGUGACUAAGGAGUUAGUCACACGAUGACGUGCUACGGAACGAGUAAAGAGACUUACCGGUAACGAGAUUGAACAAGGUAUUGGUAUACCGACGAUCGAAUCUCGGGCAAGUUCUAUACCGACAGACAGAGGGAAUCGUAUACGGGAUUGAUUGAAUCCUUGACAUCGUGGUUCAUCCGAUGAGAUCAUCGUGGAGCAAGUGGGAGCCACCAUGGGUAUCCAGACCCCGCUGAUGGUUAUUGGCCAGAGAGGUGUCUCGGUCAUGUAUGUCUGUCUCCCGAACCCGUACGGUCUACACACUUAAGGUUCGAUGAUGCUAGGGUUAUAGGGAAUUAUUAUACGAGGUUACCGAAAGUUGUUCAGAGUCCCGGAUGAGAUCCCGGACGUCACGAGGAGCUCCGGAAUGUCCGGAGGUAAAGAUUGAUAUAUAGGACGGAUGGUUUCGGAUAUCGGAAGUGUUUCGGGCAUCACCGGUAACGUACCAGGACCACCGGGACCACCGGAGGUGGCCCCGGGGGACCAUCGAAGGGGGGCAACGACCCCGGGAGGUAAGGUGGGCCAAGUGGGGGUGGGAACCAGCCCCUAGGUGGGCUGGUGCGCCUCCCCACUCAGCCCAUUGCGCAAGGGAGAGAAAAGGGGGGCAAACCCUAAGCCAGGUGGGCCUAAGGCCCACCAGUUGGUGCGCCACCCCCUCCUCCCCCCUCUGGCUGCCGCACCUCCCAUAUGGGGGGCUGCCGCACCCCCUAGGGUGGGAACCCUUAGGGGUGGCACCCCCUCUCCCCUCCCCCUAUAUAUAGUGGGCACUUUNNNNNNNNNNUGUCACGUCCAAGAUGCGACCCUAUCCUCAAAUUGGCACGGGGGCCUCGUCAGGGAUAGAAGCGCAUCUCGUCGUGUCGCAAGAAUGGAUAUCGUUACAAGUACAUGUACUGAAAAGAAGAGAUAUAUAGAAUUGGCUUACACUCGCCACAAGCUAUAUCAGAGCCACAUCAGUACAUUACAUAAUCAUCAAGAGUAAGAGCAGGGUCCGACUACGGACGAAAACAAACGAGAAAAUGAAACGACGUCCAUCCUUGCUAUCCCAAGCUGCCGGCCUGGAACCCAUCCUAGAUCGAUGAAGAAGAAGAAGAAGAAGAAGCAACUCCAAAUGAACAAUCAACGCGCUCGCGUCAAGUGACCUUUACCUGUACCUGCAACUGGUGUUGUAGUAAUCUGUGAGCCACANNNNNNNNNNACAGCCCUGCUCUUCUUUCUCCUCCUCUCAGCCGGUGCUUGGCGAAGCCCUGCUGGGAGACCUCGUCUCUCCAUCGACACCACGCCGUCGUGCUGCUGGAGUUCUUCCCCAACCUCUCUCUCCUCCUUGCUGGAUCAAGGUGCGGGAGACGUCACCGAGCUGCACGUGUGUUGAACGCGGAGGUGUCGUAGUUCGGCACUAGAUCGGAAUCGCUGCGAGUACGACUCCAUCAACCGCGUUCUAGCAACGCUUCCGCUUAGCGAUCUUCAUAGGUAUGAAGAUGCUCUUACCCCUCUCUCGUUGCUGGUCUCUCCAUAGGAAGAUCUGAAUAUGCGUAGGAAAAUUUUGAAUUUAUGCUACGUUCACCAACAGUGGCAUCCGAGCCAGGUUUUCUAUGCGUAGAUUCUAUGCACGAGUAGAACACAAAAGUUGUGGGCGAUGAUUUGUCAAUUUGCUUGCCGCUACUAGUCUUAUUCUUUUUCGGCGGUAUUGUGGGAUAAAGCGGCCCGGACCGACUUUACACAUACGCUUACGUGAGACUGGUUCCACCGACAGACAUGCACACCGUGCAUAAAGGUGGCUAGCGGGUGUCUGUCUCUCCUACUCUAGUCGGAUUGGAUUUGAUGAAAAGGGUCCUUAUGAAGGGUAAAUAGCUUUGGCAUAUCAUCGUUGUGGCUGUCACGUAGGUAAGAAGGCGUUCUUGCUAGNNNNNNNNNNNNNNNNNNNNNNNNNNNNNNNNNNNNNNNNNNNNNNNNNNNNNNNNNNNNNNNNNNNNNNNNNNNNNNNNNNNNNNNNNNNNNNNNNNNNAAAUUUAGAGUGAAUUGUAGAUAUGGGUUUUUCUCCUCCAAAGGAUUCCCAAAAUAUAUCUUUAGAGGAUGAGAAAAACUCUUAUCUCAAUGCUCAAGCUUCUAAUGUGCUUUUUGAUGCUUUGAGCAAUGUAGUUAUAUUUCAACUCAUGCCAUUCCGGGAUGCUCAUGAGUUGUGGACAAAGCUUCAAGAUAAAUAUGGUGUGUCCAAGAUUUGCAGGGAUGACUGUUCUCCCUCCACCUCCGGUCGUGUGCUCUUCUCAACUUCAUCUACUUCACCUACAUGUGGAUUGCCACAAGGUAAUGAUAUGGUGAGUAGUGGUGACCAUUGCAAUAAUAAAAGUGGGUUUAUUGUUGAUGAUCCUUCAUCACUAUAUUAUUGCAAUGCUUCAUCUUUGGGCGUUAACACUUCGAGCACUCUAAAUGUUUCACAUGCUUGUGUUACUAGUCCGUGCAUAUCAUAUAAAAACUGCGUGUCUAAAUCUCAUGAUGAUAUGCCUCCUAUAUCUUGUUGCCAUGAUAAAAAUGUAUAUAUUUCCUCGAGUUGUUGUGCUAACAAUGUAGAGGAAAUUCAUCACUCCAUGGAACAAGAUGUGGCCUUGAAUGAUGCUUCAAGGGAUCCUACAUAAUCAUCUAUUGUGACUCACUUUUGCCUUAUGGCUAAGGCUUCAAAGGUAUCUCCUACUUUGAAUUCCAAUAUAUCUCAUGAUGAUGAUGUUGAUGAUAAUGGGGAUGAGGAUAAUGAUAACGAGAGUGAUAAUAUUGCAUCCUUAAUAAUUAAGGGUGAAAUGAUUUUUAAAUCUCUUUAUCAGAAUAAACUUGCUCGUUCCAACUUCUUGGAAAUCAUGUCUAUUGCCACUGAGGGCAAGAAAUACAUUGAGGAGUUGGAAGCUCAUCUUGAGGAGCAUGAGGCCACCAUUGAGACAAUGCAAGGUCAUGAGCAUGAUUACGCUAAUGAGAUCGCAGAGCUAUCUCAAGCUCUUGAUAAUGAACAAACCACCAAGGAAUCUCUUGAGGAAACCUUUGCUCUAGAAUUAUCUAGAUUCAAGGGAUCCUAUGAUAGAGCUCUCGAGGUGGCUAAUGAUUUUAGAACUAAAAAUGAUAAGCUUCAAGUUGCUCAUGCUAAACUCCUUGAGGACUAUGAGCACCUUGGAAAUGGCUCAAGGGCUAUUAAUAGCUCGCUCAUCGAACUCACCGAGUCUCAUGCUCAACUUGAAGCUUCAUAUGCUAANNNNNNNNNNNNNNNNNNNNNNNNNNNNNNNNNNNNNNNNNNNNNNNNNNNNNNNNNNNNNNNNNNNNNNNNNNNNNNNNNNNNNNNNNNNNNNNNNNNNNNNNNNNNNNNNNNNNNNNNNNNNNNNNNNNNNNNNNNNNNNGCUACUAACUCUACUUCUUGUGAAGCAUCCAUUUUAAAGGAGAAUGUUGAGCUAAGGGCUCAACUAGAGUUGCUAUCUAGCAAUUAUGGGAAAUUGGAAGAAAGUCAUGUAAUGGUCACAAGCUCUCAUGAUGAUCUUCUAGCAUCCCAUAAUGUGCUAAAAUUAGCUCAUGAGGCUAUUACUACCAAGGUAACAUCGAGUGAGCCUCAUGUGGACAUUAGCACUACUUCUAGUCAAAAAGCUAUAUUGCCAUGUGCUAGUCCUUGUAAUUCAUCUACUCAUAAUGUUGCUACAUCUUGUGAUGGAUUACUCUCCAUGCCUUGUUGCCCUAACAAUGAAGCUUAUACUUCCUCUAGUACUUGUGUUGAUACUAACCNNNNNNNNNNGUACUCAUAAUGUUGCUACAUCUUGUGAUGAAUUACUCUCCAUGCCUUGUUGCUCUAACAAUGAAGCUUAUACUUCCUCUAGUACUUGUGUUGAUACUAACCAUGUAGAGGAAAUCAAAGAGCUCAAGGCCCAAGUCACUUCCUUGAAGAAAGACUUGGAAAAGAGUCAUGAAGGGAUGUCCACACUCAACAAUGUCUUGUGUGGACAAAAAUCCCCGAAUGAUAAAGAUGGACUUGGAUUCAACUCCAACAAGAAGAAUAAGUCCAAAAGCUUCAAGAAUAAGGGCCAAGAACAAGUCAAGAAUUUGGCCAAGAUUAUUUGCUUCAAGUGCAAAAUUGAAGGGCACCAUGUUAGAUCUUUCCCACUAAAGAAGAAGCCCCAAAGUCACAAGCAACAAGGGAAGAGGCCACAAGUGCACUCACAUACUCAACUACAAGUUGAAGAAAGGCCCCUUCCCAAGAAGACCCAAUCCAACACUCCUCAUGUUGAGAAAUCAAUAGGGAAGAAAUUAAAGGGUAGAUGUUGCUACUUAUGUCAUCAGAAGGGUCACUUCGCUUCUUCUUGCACGAGAGGUAAUUUAUCCAACCCAAUCAUUAUUGAUGAUAUCUAUUCUCUUGGGAAGGAUAAGGCUGGCAAUGUGUUUGCCAAGUUUGUUGGUACACAAAGUGGUGUCAAGAAAAGUACCAUUUGGGUUGCCAAGCCUAUUGUGACUAACCUCUUAGGACACAACGUGGUUGGGGACCAACAAGCUCAAACUUGAUCAAUAGGUGAAUAUGGAGGACAUUAGAGACUUGGAUACAUAAUGAAGAAUUAAGAGGUCUUCAUCAUUCAUAUUAUCUCAAGCCAAGUCAUUUGGAUAAUCGAGUUUCUAUCUUAUAUCCAAUGUGCCUCCUUACGGUAACUUGUACUUAAACUAUUUACAUUUUUAGUUGCUUGCCCCUUUUGCAUGUUGUGGUUUUGUACCUUGCAUGUGUUUGUAUAUGUUGUGCUUCCAACUUGCUUAUCUUGAGUAAGCGAAUAUGUGUAUGUUGGUUUGCAUAUCAUGUUCAUGUGAGUCUUCUAUUGAGCCUUAUUGCAUCUUGUUUGUAUCUUUGAUUGGCUCUUGUGAGAGAUUAAUGGAUUAUUUUAUUAUGGGAGAGUGAUGUGCUUUGCACACCUCACGAUCCUAUAAAUGUGUAUACAUGGGGAAUACCACUUAGUAUUGAUAUUUCAAGAUUAUCUAGUUUCUAUGUGGUAUGUCUUACUCAUGAGAAAUUCAAAUUCUAAAUGGUCCAUUAAUUAUCUCUUGUUGGUUUUUCAUUUGCCACUUGUUAAUAUUGUUGGGUUAUCACAUUAUGGGGGAGUAAUAUGCUAUGUGCAUAUUACAAUCCUAGAGAAUGUGUACAUUUGAGGUAUUGCCACUUAGUGUUGAUAUUGUAAAUUAUCUUGUUCCUAGGUGGCAUGUUUGCUCUACAAGUGUCAUUUGCUUGCGUUUUAUGGGUAAAGAUGAUCUUGGAUAUAUUUGCGAUCUACCAAUGAGUAUCAUUUUCAAAAUACUUCUUGUCCUUGACAAUUGGUAUUCCCAUCAUGUGGUAGGAAUUGCUAAUCAUCUUUACAUUGGAUUUUGUGUUUCGUUUGUCUUCCUUGCCUCUUGUGGAUCUAUUUUAACAUGUCUAGUGUUUUUAUAGAUAUAGAGAAAGUGAUGAUCCCAUCUUGUGNNNNNNNNNNNNNNNNNNNNNNNNNNNNNNNNNNNNNNNNNNNNNNNNNNNNNNNNNNNNNNNNNNNNNNNNNNNNNNNNNNNNNNNNNNNNNNNNNNNNUGAGUGCGUAUCUUAUUUUCCUACAUCUUGAUGCACUCUUUGGCCGUGAAGAUUAUUUUUCUUAUUUUUCCUCAUGCCUGUCUUGAUGAGGGUUUUGCCAUUUCGAUUGGUAUCCCUACUCUCUUGACAAGGUUCUUAUUUCCUAUCUUCACCUUGGGUUGUCACAAGCGUUGGUUCUUUUUUUUUGUAAGCUUGUGAACCCAGUUUCAAGUAUGUGUGUGUGGGAAUGAUAUGUCUUGCACUUUGUGUCUCAUUUCAUCAAUACUAUGUUGAUGAGUAAUGUUCAUCCCUAUCUUAGUCUUCUCAAGUGCCUUGCCAUGACUCACACACAUUAUUUUGGUUGAGCCUAAUCUUAAGUUGCUUCUUUUACAUGUUGCUCAACCACUUGUUUUGUGCAAGAGAUUUGCUUAUUGUCUCAUCUUUCUUCUUGCACCCGUUGUGUGUUUUUAUUAAUUUUGGGGGAGCAACGAUCCUAUUUUGUGCACUUGUAUCAUAUACAAAAAUAUCCUAUUAGUGCACAAAUCAUGGGGAGCUUCUCUAGUUUUGAUAAAACACUNNNNNNNNNNUUGGGUAAAGAUGAUCUUGGAUAUAUUUUCGAUCUACCAAUGAGUAUCAUUUCCAAAAUACUUCUUGUCCUUGACCAUUGGUAUUCCCAUCACGUGGUAGGAAUUGCUAAUCGUCUUUACAUUGGAUCUUGUGUUUCGUUUGUCUUCCUUGCCUCUUGUGGAUCUAUUUUAACUUGUCUAGUGUUUUUAUAGAUAUAGAGAAAGUGAUGAUCCCAUCUUGUGNNNNNNNNNNNNNNNNNNNNNNNNNNNNNNNNNNNNNNNNNNNNNNNNNNNNNNNNNNNNNNNNNUUCGAGGGUUUGGUUUGUUGAAACCUAGCUCUCUUUUGGAAACUAGAUACCUCGUGUCUGUUUUUCUUCNNNNNNNNNNAACCCAUGGGGGAUCUAUCCUAUUUCCUUUAGAACACUCUCUUUAUUCGCCCAUCAUAAAAUCUUUUGAUCCCCAUCAAGUGUAUGUUGAUGGGAGGCAAGUCUUGCUCUUUAUGAUGCUUUGUGCCAUCAUGAAAAUUUGUCGAGGGUUUGGUUUGUUGGAACCUAGCUCUCUUUUGGAAACUAGAUACCUCGUGUCUGUUUUUCUUCAAUUGGUAUCUUGUUUCCUUUUUAUUUAGCAUGUGUCAAUGGAUAUCUCAUGCCUUGUUGUAUAUUUUAUUUGAUAUCCCUCAAGUAAUAGUUUUUCAUUUGCUAUCUUAUUAUCACUUGAUACCUUGUCUUUUGGUAUCUUAUCAACUAUAUGUUGAUUGGAUUCUUGAAAGCCUUGAGCAUGCAUAUUUACUAUAUGAAUUUCCUUUGGCAUGCUCUCUUUCUUUGACCCAAUAUAUGGGGGAAACUCCACCUUGUCAUAAAAUGGCUAACGUGUGCAUGAAAUUCAAAUUCAUAUCUAUAUGCACAUAUCUAUGUGGAGUUUGUCCUAUGUAUUGUUGGUUUUCUAACUCUUUGGUCCCAAUGAGUUUGGGCACCAUUUUGUUUGUUUUGUUGUUCCAGGAACAAUUGGAGAUGCAUUGGAUGCUCGACUCACCUAUAAGGAAGGUGUUGAGACCAUGUGAUUAUUGGAGCCAAGUUAGGAUGAUCAAAGAACAACUAUCUACUACAUCAAUCCAAUGUUGUCUCGGUAACAAGUAUCUACUUCAUGCAUUCUUUUCUUGCAAAGGCCCCUGUCUUUUCUUUGCAGGGUGCAUCAUGGCAUGAAUCUCUUGAUUCGUUCUUGUAGUACUUGUUUCCUCUCUCAAAGCAUCCUAACGAUGAUGUCUUAUUACUAGUUGGGAUGUCUUUGAUGUUCAUAUGUUGGAAGUUCAUAUUAUACAAUAAGAAAAUAUUAGGCCAUGUGCUAUGCUUCCAAGCAAAAGAUCUUAUUGAUAAUAUUUUUGACUUCCUUUUGGAUAUCUAGUUUGUUCCUUCUUGUAACCAUUUCGUGUGUACAUUCUUCUUUGUGGAUAUAUAUCAUCAUGAUUGUCUUCUACUUAGAAUCUUUUACACAUGAGAAAAGUUACAUCUCUAAUUAAUAUCCUCUUUUCUUUCACGUCCAUCGUUGCAUUUCCUUUUUCAGUUUUUGGUGGCUUCGUGAAAGGAUUUGUCUNNNNNNNNNNNNNNNNNNNNNNNNNNNNNNNNNNNNNNNNNNNNNNNNNNNNNNNNNNNNNNNNNNNNNNNNNNNNNNNNNNNNNNNNNNNNNNNNNNNNCGUUGCUUUUAUCAUAAUAUCUUUUAUUCAUGUGGUUCGAAGGACCAUAUGAUUGUUUGUUCCAUCCGGUAUCUUUUGAUUGCUUGCCUCUAUUGGGGUAUGUCCUUGUGGCAUACGAUUCUUUUAUUUGCAAUCUUUGGGUCCUCAAUAUAGUUUGUUUUCCUCCAACUACUUAUCAUUGUAUUUGUGUAUUUCUUGGCACUCAUUUGCUGAGAAGUACACACUUUUUGGAGGACCACCAAAUAUAUUGGCUUUCUAAACUUUUCGUCCAUUUUGGCAAUCGAUGCCAAUGGGGGAGAAGUUUAGAGAGUUUACUUUGGAUAUGUUUAGAGGGGUUUGCUUUUAUUGCGUAAGCAUUUACAUCUUGCACGCAUGCAUUAUUGCUUUGUAUGUGUGCGGUUGGUUAUGCUUAUUUCCUUAUAUAAACUCUCUUGAAGUAGUUGUCAUCAAUUACCAAAAUGGGGGAGAAUGUUAGAGCAUAUGUCUCCAUAUGUGGUUUUGGUAAUUGAUGACAAUUCCUAUGGACUAAUGGUUGCCUUAAGUUAUAUUUAAUGGAUUUGUCCAUAGGCANNNNNNNNNNUCGGUGACCGCCCCCAAGGUUUGCCAUUUGUACGGGUUCGGUGACCGCCCUCAAGGGUCCCUUAGUGGAAUCACAGCAUCUUGCAUUGUGCGAGAGCGUGAGGAGAUUACGGUGGCCUUAGUGGCAUCUUGGGGAGCAUUGUGNNNNNNNNNNAUGCGAGAGCGUGAGGAGAUUACGGUGGCCUUAGUGGCAUCUUGGGGUGAACUGUGCCUCCACACCGCUCCAACGGAGAUUAGCAUCCGCAAGGGUGUGAACUUCGGGAUACAUCAUCGUCUCCGCGUGCCUCGGUUAUCUUUUACUCGAACCCUUUACUUAUGCACUUUACUUUGUGAUAGCCAUAUUGUUUAUUGUCAUAUAUCUUGCUAUCNNNNNNNNNNACGUGCCUCGGUUAUCUCUUACCCGAACCCUUUACUUAUGACCUUUACUUUGUGAUAGCCAUAUUGUUUAUUGUCAUAUAUCUUGCUAUCNNNNNNNNNNNNNNNNNNNNNNNNNNNNNNNNNNNNNNNNNNNNNNNNNNNNNNNNNNNNNNNNNNNNNNNNNNNNNNNNNNNNNNNNNNNNNNNNNNNNGCGACUACACCGGCCUUCGCUUUAGGUGGAGGUGGGUGCCCAAGAAAUCAAGGCAUACGAGCUUGGGUUGAUCAUGUCGUUUCUUGGAUUGUAACAUCCCAUUGCUUCGUNNNNNNNNNNNNNNNNNNNNNNNNNNNNNNNNNNNNNNNNNNNNNNNNNNNNNNNNNNNNNNNNNNNNNNNNNNNNNNNNNNNNNNNNNNNNNNNNNNNNNNNNNNNNNNNNNNNNNNNNNNNNNNNNNNNNNNNNNNNNNNNNNNNNNNNNNNNNNNNNNNNNNNNNNNNNNNNNNNNNNNNNNNNNNNNNNNCGGUGGGCAAUCCAGGUGAGUUCACUCCCAAAUUCAUUCUGAUCCGUGCGUUUCUUGGUUCUUCAUUGACGACGGAGUUGGAUUUCCUGGUUUCUGUUGCAGCCGGUACAUCGGCGCAGCCAUCAGGGACGACGGCGAAUGCAGCCGGCGACGGCAUUGCGGGGAUUUCGCAGGCUCUUGCGGGGCUUACGACGGCGACUACAGGCUCCGCCGGCGGCUCUUCCCAGUUCGGUGGAG
rnacentral:lncRNA from 1 species